rnacentral:rRNA from 1 species
GAUCAUGGCUCAGAUUGAACGCUGGCGGCAGGCCUAACACAUGCAAGUCGAGCGGUAGAGAGAAGCUUGCUUCUCUUGAGAGCGGCGGACGGGUGAGUAAUGCCUAGGAAUCUGCCUGGUAGUGGGGAUAACGUUCGGAAACGGACGCUAAUACCGCAUACGUCCUACGGGAGAAAGCAGGGGGACCUUCGGGCCUUGCGCUAUCAGAUGAGCCUAGGUCGGAUUAGCUAGUUGGUGAGGUAAUGGCUCACCAAGGCGACGAUCCGUAGCUGGUCUGAGAGGAUGAUCAGCCACACUGGGACUGAGACACGGCCCAGACUCCUACGGGAGGCAGCAGUGGGGAAUAUUGGACAAUGGGGCGAAAGCCUGAUCCAGCAAUGCCGCGUGAGUGAUGAAGGCCUUAGGGUUGUAAAGCUCUUUUACUGGGGAUGAUAAUGACAGUACCCAGAGAAUAAGCUCCGGCUAACUCCGUG